rnacentral:rRNA from 1 species
AACGGCCGUACCAUGCUGAAUAUACCGGUUCUCGUUAGAUCACCGAAGUCAAGCAUCAUUGGGCGCGGUUAGUACUUGGGUGGGUGACCACCUGGGAACACCGCGUGCCGUU